rnacentral:ncRNA from 1 species
UAAAUAACGAUGAAGAGGAAUAGUAGUAAAUGGUAUAGGUGAAGAGAGGUGACGGUUGGUGAGAGUCACUCCUAUACAUUACGAACUCGCCUCAGAUGUUAUAGAAGUGAAAUCUAGUAGCUUUUGUCGUUUUCCGCGUUAAGGAAAUGAAGUGAGUGUUAGUCUGAUAACACUAAUGUUGGGUGGUACCGCGGGAAUCUCUCUCGUCCCAUUA